UAUGAACGUUUGGGCAACAAACCACAUUGGAACCCAGUGCCCAUCAUUUAACAGGCACAGCAGCCAGCUUCGACAGCCUUUCCAAGAAACAACAGCAUCCGCAAACCUCAAAGAGCUCUGCCGACAGCUGUGGUCUCUGCAGGUACCUACAGGCUCUGCCCGCCGCUGCUGCACACUUUAAACAAUCUUUAUUUCAAAAGGGUGUAAUCCAGCCUCCACCUCAGUACCCACAGGGCUCUGAGUGAGCCUCACCCAGGCUAUGAAUGAGAGAAGGCGCCAAGGAAGCACUCUGGACCAUAAUUGUGCCGCCAGGGCUAAGAACCAUUGCUGUGAGCACUGGAGGGAAAACAGAAUUUCUGCACUGAGUCACCCAGGUCAUGUGCCUUUCGGCCUGAGUUUCUUCAACUACUGUGAUGUCUCAAAAAGCUAGAAGAAAAGAUACAGAACGUUUUCGCCACGAAGACACGAUGAGUGGCAGCGUGUGGCGGCGCACGGUCUAGUAGGUGCUUAGCAUGUGUGCACUGUCAAGGACCAGGAUCAAAAGGCAGAAACCCGCAUCGAGUCCAACUUCUGCUGUCCAUAUAUGGUUGGAUACGUGGCCUCUGCUGGAGCGUGGUCAAUCCGCCAGGAGCCGCGCCCUUAAAGAAAACGGCCUCUCCCUCACCUAGCAACUAUCAGUAGCCCGGAGAUCCUCAGCUAGGAGUGGGACUUUGUGCCCAUCUUAUUGUGAAUGCCUUCACAGUGUUAUGAUUUCAUAUGCGUAACAGAAACUACUGUUUUCUUGUAGUCAUCCACUGCCUGUGGCUCUUACGUUCGCUCCACCUGCUCUUAUGCGAUGGUUCCUCAGCAUUGGG
rnacentral:sRNA from 1 species